rnacentral:rRNA from 1 species
UGUCGCUGACGAACAGCAACAAAACAAAAAACAAAACUUAGCAAAUAAGUUAAAAAAGUUUUUUGAAGAAAAAUGUUGACAAAGUUCGAAAAUGGUGUUAAACUAAAGAAGUCGCUUGAGGGCGACAAAGAAAUGGUCUUUGAAAAUUAAACAGAAGAUAUUAACAUAAACCAGCAAUUCUUUUAUAAGUAAUAUGAGUAUAGAUUAAACUUUUAAAUUGAGAGUUUGAUCCUGGCUCAGG